UUCUAAUAGAAUUUAUUAUUAGUAAAAUCUGCUCAAUGAAAUUUCAAUAGCCGCAAUAUAUUUGUGCUAAGGUAGCAUAAUCAUUUGUCUUUUAAUUAAAGACUAGUACGAAAGAUUUAACUUUUAAUCUCUUUAAAAAUAUUAAUUUUUAAUUUAUCCUAAAUAUAAAAAGAUAUUUAUUUAUAAAAAAGACGAUAAGACCCUAUUGAACUUAACUAAAGUUAAACUGGGGAAGUUAAUUAAAAAUCAUUUUAAAUAAAUUUUAUCUAAAUGAUCCAAAAUAUUUGAUUACUUAAUCAAGUUACCAUAGGGAUAACAGCGUAAUAUUUCUUUAAAGAUCUUAUUAAAAGAAUUGCUUGCGACCUCGAUGUUGAAUAUCUACCUAGUAAAUGCAAUAGUCUACUAAGGAAGUCUGUUCGACUUUUAAUUUUAUACA
rnacentral:rRNA from 1 species